rnacentral:rRNA from 1 species
ACGCUGGCGGCAUGCUUUACACAUGCAAGUCGGACGGCAGCACAGAGAAGCUUGCUUCUUGGGUGGCGAGUGGCGAACGGGUGAGUAAUAUAUCGGAACGUACCGAGUAAUGGGGGAUAACUAAUCGAAAGAUUAGCUAAUACCGCAUAUUCUCUGAGGAGGAAAGCAGGGGACCUUCGGGCCUUGCGUUAUUCGAGCGGCCGAUAUCUGAUUAGCUAGUUGGUGGGGUAAAGGCCUACCAAGGCGACGAUCAGUAGCGGGUCUGAGAGGAUGAUCCGCCACACUGGGACUGAGACACGGCCCAGACUCCUACGGGAGGCAGCAGUGGGGAAUUUUGGACAAUGGGCGCAAGCCUGAUCCAGCCAUGCCGCGUGUCUGAAGAAGGCCUUCGGGUUGUAAAGGACUUUUGUCAGGGAAGAAAAGGCUGUUGCUAAUACCGACAGCUGAUGACGGUACCUGAAGAAUAAGCACCGGCUAACUACGUGCCAGCAGCCGCGGUAAUACGUAGGGUGCGAGCGUUAAUCGGGAUUACUGGGCGUAAAGCGAGCGCAGACGGUUACUUAAGCAGGAUGUGAAAUCCCGGGCUCAACCUGGGAACUGCGUUCUGAACUGGGUGACUAGAGUGUGUCAGAGGGAGGUAGAAUUCCACGUGUAGCAGUGAAAUGCGUAGAGAUGUGGAGGAAUACCGAUGGCGAAGGCAGCCUCCUGGGAUAACACUGACGUUCAUGCUCGAAAGCGUGGGUAGCAAACAGGAUUAGAUACCCUGGUAGUCCACGCCCUAAACGAUGUCAAUUAGCUGUUGGGCAACUUGAUUGCUUAGUAGCGUAGCUAACGCGUGAAAUUGACCGCCUGGGGAGUACGGUCGCAAGAUUAAAACUCAAACGAAUUGACGGGGACCCGCACAAGCGGUGGAUGAUG